rnacentral:lncRNA from 1 species
GGAGCACGGUUCACUUCAUCAUCUUCUUCAUCACCACUAUCAGCACGUUUGUCCUCUUCUUCAAAAAUGCUUUGUCCCAUUUCAUGUUCACCUGCAGCUUCAAAGAUAGGGGUUGUGCAAGGCAUAGUUUCAUUUAAAGUAAUCUCACAAGUUUCCACAAUCCGGUUAGUUUCAAGGUUAAGUACACGAUAAGCAUGACUAUGAGAUGCAUAACCAAGAAAAAUACCAUCAGUGGACCGAGACUAAAAUUUGUCCAAAUU